rnacentral:rRNA from 1 species
GCGAAUCUCGAAAGCCUGUCUCAGUUCGGAUUGGAGGCUGAAACCCGCCUCCAUGAAGUUGGAUUCGCUAGUAAUCGCGCAUCGGCCAUGGCGCGGUGAAUACGUUCCCGGGCCUUGUACACACCGCCCGUCAAGCCAUGGGAGCCGGGGGUGCCUGAAGUUCGUGACCGCAAGGAGCGACCUAGGGCAAAACUGGUGACUGGGGCUAAGUCGUAACAAGGUAAC